rnacentral:lncRNA from 1 species
UGGAAGAAUAUUUUGGCUUGUAAGAAGGGAUAAGUACUUGUUCUUUCCUUGACUCAAUUACCUGUAUUCUUUUCUUGUUCAUAUUGUCUUACCAUUUACUUAUAAAUAGAUGCAGACAAUUGAACUCUUUAAUUCACUUCUACACCAUUUCACAGUCACUUGUAAAAUUGUUUUUCACUUUCUUUGAUUACACCUUCCCCUUAUAUGUUAACGCCACACGAACAUAUUCUUCCUCUUGAAGCAUAAUGACCAGCUAGAAAAUGGUGACAGCGACAAUGAGAUUGCAUCCACACAAAUAGAAAUAAAAGUGGAUCUUGACAAGGCGAAAGAAGUGUUUACUCGACUAGAAGAGUUGGAAGAUGCAAUCAUUGAAACGUUCAUGUCUUUGAAAAACAACAUUAUUCAUGACAGAACCGAAGAGGCAAGCAAAAAUCUCAGGGCCUUAAUCAGAACGAGCAAAGAAAUCAACAAGAUCAAGUUUGAUCAUUUUCCAAAAACAGAAGCAAAUACACCAUUUUGUCAUCCAUUAUGAGAAUAAAAAGAUGUCAGAAAAUUGGUUGAGUUUGCAAAUUGUAGAAAACCUUCUUUCUCCUAUGAUGUCUAAACUUCAGCAGGAUUAUGAUAUUCUACCUCUAAACUUUAGGUUUUAUUUGUUGACUACUGCAGUUUCCCUGACAAAUUUAUUGGCGUAUUAGUGAGGGCUGUGUCACCAAAUUUACACUAUAACUGCUUGGGAAAUGGUCGAAAUUUCUUUGGGGAACAAACUACCAUCUCUGUAUUAUGAGUCCAUGGAUCCGUCAUCCAUAUAACGUUUGACAUCCAUGGCUGACAGUCCAACUUCUUCAAUUUAGCCCUAUAGGGAACAUAACCAUGAAUUAUGUUCACUCUGCUUGGCUCAUUCUGGUCUUUGAAUGAUAAUAUUAGAGAAGACUGAUCACCAUAUUCAGUGGACACAAGAAAUAUCUGAGUCUUUCGAGGAAGAUUUCUUUUCAAAGAUUUGCGAAUCUGAAGGUUCUUCUACUUGGAAGUUGGCACGUUUUUCCUCAUCAUCAGAUUGAGAUAGAAAACUGCAAGGGUUAGAUAAAGACACAAAAGCAAUUAACACAUCCUAACCUAAGUGAGAUUACCAGUCUUCCCGACUCUUUGGCUGAGUGCCUGCAUAAAUCUGGACCUCGAUACGCAAUAAUUUGAGAAAGCUUAACAUAUUUCAGCAUGUCCGAAUGUUACUUCCAUGCCCAGUAACUUCACCUGCUCCAGGUUUUCAAGGCCAAGAAUUAUGGAAUCUCUGAAUAUCAUGAGUAGUAAAAUCUCAACUUUCCAUGAUCCGGAAUUAGUACGCCAUCUUGGAGACGAAGUAUCCCUCCUUUUAUGUACAACUUUUUCAAUUUUUUUUGGGAAAGCAAAUUAUUAGUUGUAGUUUCUCUAAUCUGGCAUGUUCAUCUAAUUAUUUGCAUACAUUUCGUUUUACAUUCCUCCAUGUUAAAGCAAGGACUCAAAGGAAGAGAGGAAAAACGAAAUGUAUGCAAAUAAUUUGAUGAACAUGCCCUGAUUAGAGAAACUACAACUCAUAAGUUGCUUUCCCCGAAUAUUUGAAAAAGCUGUACAUAAAAGGAAGCAUACAUUGUCUCCAAGAUAGCCUACUAAUUCCGGAACAUGGAAAGUUGAGAUCUUAUUCAGCAUUAGUUUCCCAAUCUCUUAUGCUU